AAUCAACGCUGGCGGCGUGCCUAACACAUGCAAGUCGAACGCGAAAGUCCCGCAAGGGAUGAGUAGAGUGGCAAACGGGUGAGUAACACGUGGGUGACCUGCCUUCGAGCGGGGGAUAACGUCCCGAAAGGGACGCUAAUACCGCAUGACAUCCUGCCUUUGAAGAGGUGGAGAUCAAAGCUGGGGAUCGCAAGACCUAGCACUUGAAGAGGGGCCCGCGCCUGAUUAGCUAGUUGGUGGGGUAACGGCUCACCAAGGCAACGAUCAGUAUCCGGCCUGAGAGGGCGGACGGACACACUGGGACUGAGACACGGCCCAGACUCCUACGGAGGCAGCAGUGGGGAAUUGUUCGCAAUGGGCGCAAGCCUGACGACGCAACGCCGCGUGGAGGAUGAAGACCUU
rnacentral:rRNA from 1 species